rnacentral:rRNA from 1 species
GACAGAGGGUGCAAGCGUUAAUCGGAAUUACUGGGCGUAAAGGGCAUGUAGGUGGAUAUUUAAGUCAAGUGUGAAAUCCCCGGGCUUAACCUGGGAACCGCACGUGAUACUGAGUAUCUAGAGUACAGUAGAGGGAAGUGGAAUUUCCGGUGUAGCGGUGAAAUGCGUAGAUAUCGGAAGGAACACCAGUGGCGAAGGCGGCUUUCUGGACUGAUACUGACACUGAGGUGCGAAAGCGUGGGGAGCAAACAGG